AAUGAACGCUGGCGGCGCGCCUAAUACAUGCAAGUCGAGCGAGAAGACGUAGCAAUACGUUUGUAAAGCGGCGAACGGGUGAGGAAUACAUGGGUAACCUACCCUCGAGUGGGGAAUAACUAGCCGAAAGGUUAGCUAAUACCGCGUACGCUUCUUGGACUUCGGUUCAGGGAGGAAAGCGAUGCCGAGGGUAUCGCGCUCUUGGAUGGGCUCAUGUCCUAUCAGCUUGUUGGGAGGUAACGGCUCACCAGGGCUUCGACGGGUAGCUGGUCUGAGAGGACGAUCAGCCACACUGGCACUGCGACACGGGCCAGACUCCUACGGGAGGCAGCAGUAAGGAAUAUUGCGCAAUGGGCG
rnacentral:rRNA from 1 species